rnacentral:rRNA from 1 species
CAGCAGCCGCGGUAAUACGAAGGGGGCUAGCGUUGUUCGGAAUCACUGGGCGUAAAGGGUGCGUAGGCGGAUUCUUAAGUCAGGGGUGAAAUCCCGAGGCUCAACCUCGGAACUGCCUUUGAUACUGGGGAUCUUGAGUCCGGAAGAGGUGAGUGGAACUGCGAGUGUAGAGGUGAAAUUCGUAGAUAUUCGCAAGAACACCGGUGGCGAAGGCGGCUCACUGGUCCGGAACUGACGCUGAGGCACGACAGCGUGGGGAGCAAACAGGAUUAGAUACCCCAGUAGUCCCUGUCUCUUAUAC